GCGACCGGCGCACGGGUGCGUAACGCGUAUGCAACCUACCUCGUACUGGGAGAUAGCCCGAAGAAAUUCGGAUUAAUACCCCAUAGUACUUUUAGAUGGCAUCAUUUGAAAGUUAAAGGUUACGGUACGAGAUGGGCAUGCGUCCCAUUAGCUAGAUGGUAAGGUAACGGCUUACCAUGGCGACGAUGGGUAGGGGGCCUGAGAGGGUGAUCCCCCACACUGGUACUGAGACACGGACCAGACUCC
rnacentral:rRNA from 1 species